ACACGGGAAGCCUAAUCAACGUAC
rnacentral:siRNA from 1 species